AGAGUUUGAUCCUGGCUCAGGAUGAACGCUGGCGGUAUGCCUUACACAUGCAAGUCGACGAGAGUUUUUAACUCAAGUGGCGGACGGGUGAGUAACACGUAAGAAUUUGCCUCUAGAGGGGGGUAACAACUGGAAACGGUUGCUAAUACCCCAUAUGCUUUCGAGUGAAAUGGAUUCCGCCUAGAGAGAAGCUUGCGGCUGAUUAGCUUGUUGGUGAGGUAAUGGCUCACCAAGCGACGAUCAGUAUCUGGUUUGAGAGGACGAUCAGACACACUGGAACUGAGACACGGUCCGACUCCUACGGGAGGCAGCAGUGGGGAAUUUUCCGCAAUGGGCGAAAGCCUGACGGAGCAUACCGCGUGAGGGAUGACGGCCUAUGGGUUGUAAACCUCUUUUUUCAGGGAGGAAUUAUGACGUGUACCUGAAGAAUAAGCAUCGGCUAACUCCGUGCCAGCAGCCGCGGUAA
rnacentral:rRNA from 1 species